GGCUCGGUGGUGUAGUUGGUUAUCACGUCAGUCUAACACACUGAAGGUCCGGAGUUCGAGCCUCCGCUGAGUCA
rnacentral:tRNA from 1 species